GAUGAAGAACGUAGUGAAAUGCGAUACGUAAUGUGAAUUGCAGAAUUCAGUGAAUCAUCGAGUCUUUGAACGCACAUUGCGCCCCCUGGUAUUCCGGGGGGCAUGCCUGUCCGAGCGUCAUUGCUGCCCUCAAGCACGGCUUGUGUGUUGGGCCCCGCCCCCCGGCUCCCGGGGGGCGGGCCCGAAAGGCAGCGGCGGCACCGCGUCCGGUCCUCGAGCGUAUGGGGCUUCGUCACCCGCUCCGUAGGCCCGGCCGGCGCCCGCCGGCGACCCCCCUCAAUCUUUUCAGGUUGACCUCGGAUCAGGUAGGGAUACCCGCUGAACUUAAGCAUAUCAAUAAGCGGAGGA
rnacentral:misc_RNA from 1 species